GAUGAACGCUAGCGGCAGGCUUAAUACAUGCAAGUCGAGGGGGUAGCAAUACUACCGGCGCACGGGUGAGUAACACGUACAUAACAUACCAUAUACUGGGGUAUAGCUUUGGGAAACUGAAGGUAAUCCCCCAUAACAUUGCGAGAGGGCAUCUGAUUGCAAUUAAAGUCUCGACGGUAUAUGAUUGAUGUGCGUUUGAUUAGCUUGUUGGUAGGGUAACGGCCUACCAAGGCGACGAUCAAUAGCUGGCGUGAGAGCGCGACCAGCCACACUGGAACUGAGACACGGUCCAGACUCCUACGGGAGGCAGCAGUAGGGAAUAUUGGACAAUGGGCGAAAGCCUGAUCCAGCCAUGCCGCGUGAUAGAUGAAGGCCCUCUGGGUUGUAAAUAUCUUUUANCUGGGAAGAAACAUCUAUUCUUAAGAUCUUGACGGUACCAGAGGAAUAAGCACCGGCUAACUCCGUGCCAGCAGCCGCGGU
rnacentral:rRNA from 1 species